UGGGGAAUAUUGCACAAUGGGCGCAAGCCUGAUGCAGCCAUGCCGCGUGUGUGAAGAAGGCCUUCGGGUUGUAAAGCACUUUCAGCGGGGAGGAAGGCGAUAAGGUUAAUAACCUUGUCGAUUGACGUUACCCGCAGAAGAAGCACCGGCUAACUCCGUGCCAGCAGCCGCGGUAAUACGGAGGGUGCAAGCGUUAAUCGGAAUUACUGGGCGUAAAGCGCACGCAGGCUGUCUGUCAAGUCGGAUGUGAAAUCCCCUGGCUCAACCUGGGAACUGCAUUCGAAACUGGCAGGCUAGAGUCUUGUAGAGGGGGGUAGCAUUCCAGGUGUAGCGGUGAAAUGCGUAGAGAUCUGGAGGAAUACCGGUGGCGAAGGCGGCCCCCUGGACAAAGACUGACGCUCAGGUGCGAAAGCGUGGGGAGCAAACAGG
rnacentral:rRNA from 1 species